rnacentral:rRNA from 1 species
UUGGACGGCCAUAGUGGCGUGGCUCCACCCGAUCCCUUUUCGAACUCGGAAGUUAAGCACGCCGACGUUGCUGCCUGUACUGCGCUUGCGCGCGGGAACGCAACAUCGCUGUCCACC